UGGCUAUGAUGAUAUUAUGCUUCGGUCCGUGUUUCUGAAUCCUGAUCGGUAUAGAAGUUCUGAGCAA